rnacentral:rRNA from 1 species
CUCUACGGCCAUGCCACCCUGAACAAGCCCAAUCCUGUCUGAUCUUGGAAGCUAAGCAGGGCCUAGUUAAUACUUGGAUGAGAGACUAUCUAGGAAGACCAGGUGCUGUAGGCG